AUAAUCCUGUAGUCGAAAAUGUUGUCUCUCUUGAGUGGAUCCUGAGUACGACGGAGCACGUGAAAUUCCGUCGGAAUCUGGGAGGACCAUCUCCUAAGGCUAAAUACUCUCUAGUGACCGAUAGUGAACCAGUACCGUGAGGGAAAGGUGAAAAGCACCCCGGAAGGGGAGUGAAAUAGAACCUGAAACCGUGUGCUUACAAGUAGUCAGAGCCCGUUAAUGGGUGAUGGCGUGCCUUUUGUAGAAUGAACCGGCGAGUUACGAUUUGAUGCAAGGUUAAGCAGUAAAUGUGGAGCCGUAGCGAAAGCGAGUCUGAAUAGGGCGUUUAGUAUUUGGUCGUAGACCCGAAACCAGGUGAUCUACCCUUGGUCAGGUUGAAGUUCAGGUAACACUGAAUGGAGGACCGAACCGACUUACGUUGAAAAGUGAGCGGAUGAACUGAGGGUAGCGGAGAAAUUCCAAUCGAACCUGGAGAUAGCUGGUUCUCUCCGAAAUAGCUUUAGGGCUAGCCUCAAGUGAUGAUUAUUGGAGGUAGAGCACUGUUUGGACGAGGGGCCCCUCUCGGGUUACCGAAUUCAGACAAACUCCGAAUGCCAAUUAAUUUAACUUGGGAGUCAGAACAUGGGUGAUAAGGUCCGUGUUCGAAAGGGAAACAGCCCAGACCACCAGCUAAGGUCCCAAAAUAUAUGUUAAGUGGAAAAGGAUGUGGCGUUGCCCAGACAACUAGGAUGUUGGCUUAGAAGCAGCCAUCAUUUAAAGAGUGCGUAAUAGCUCACUAGUCGAGUGACACUGCGCCGAAAAUGUACCGGGGCUAAACAUAUUACCGAAGCUGUGGAUUGUCCUUUGGACAAUGGUAGGAGAGCGUUCUAAGGGCGUUGAAGCAUGAUCGUAAGGACAUGUGGAGCGCUUAGAAGUGAGAAUGCCGGUGUGAGUAGCGAAAGACGGGUGAGAAUCCCGUCCACCGAUUGACUAAGGUUUCCAGAGGAAGGCUCGUCCGCUCUGGGUUAGUCGGGUCCUAAGCUGAGGCCGACAGGCGUAGGCGAUGGAUAACAGGUUGAUAUUCCUGUACCACCUAUAAUCGUUUUAAUCGAUGGGGGGACGCAGUAGGAUAGGCGAAGCGUGCGAUUGGAUUGCACGUCUAAGCAGUAAGGCUGAGUAUUAGGCAAAUCCGGUACUCAUUAAGGCUGAGCUGUGAUGGGGAGAAGACAUUGUGUCUUCGAGUCGUUGAUUUCACACUGCCGAGAAAAGCCUCUAGAUAGAAAAUAGGUGCCCGUACCGCAAACCGACACAGGUAGUCAAGAUGAGAAUUCUAAGGUGAGCGAGCGAACUCUCGUUAAGGAACUCGGCAAAAUGACCCCGUAACUUCGGGAGAAGGGGUGCUCUUUAGGGUUAACGCCCAGAAGAGCCGCAGUGAAUAGGCCCAAGCGACUGUUUAUCAAAAACACAGGUCUCUGCUAAACCGUAAGGUGAUGUAUAGGGGCUGACGCCUGCCCGGUGCUGGAAGGUUAAGAGGAGUGGUUAGCUUCUGCGAAGCUACGAAUCGAAGCCCCAGUAAACGGCGGCCGUAACUAUAACGGUCCUAAGGUAGCGAAAUUCCUUGUCGGGUAAGUUCCGACCCGCACGAAAGGCGUAACGAUUUGGGCACUGUCUCAACGAGAGACUCGGUGAAAUCAUAGUACCUGUGAAGAUGCAGGUUACCCGCGACAGGACGGAAAGACCCCGUGGAGCUUUACUGUAGCCUGAUAUUGAAAUUCGGCACAGCUUGUACAGGAUAGGUAGGAGCCUUUGAAACGUGAGCGCUAGCUUACGUGGAGGCGCUGGUGGGAUACUACCCUAGCUGUGUUGGCUUUCUAACCCGCACCACUUAUCGUGGUGGGAGACAGUGUCAGGCGGGCAGUUUGACUGGGGCGGUCGCCUCCUAAAAGGUAACGGAGGCGCUCAAAGGUUCCCUCAGAAUGGUUGGAAAUCAUUCAUAGAGUGUAAAGGCAUAAGGGAGCUUGACUGCGAGACCUACAAGUCGAGCAGGGUCGAAAGACGGACUUAGUGAUCCGGUGGUUCCGCAUGGAAGGGCCAUCGCUCAACGGAUAAAAGCUACCCCGGGGAUAACAGGCUUAUCUCCCCCAAGAGUUCACAUCGACGGGGAGGUUUGGCACCUCGAUGUCGGCUCAUCGCAUCCUGGGGCUGUAGUCGGUCCCAAGGGUUGGGCUGUUCGCCCAUUAAAGCGGUACGCGAGCUGGGUUCAGAACGUCGUGAGACAGUUCGGUCCCUAUCCGUCGUGGGCGUAGGAAAUUUGAGAGGAGCUGUCCUUAGUACGAGAGGACCGGGAUGGACAUACCUCUGGUGUACCAGUUGUCGUGCCAACGGCAUAGCUGGGUAGCUAUGUGUGGACGGGAUAAGUGCUGAAAGCAUCUAAGCAUGAAGCCCCCCUCAAGAUGAGAUUUCCCAACUUCGGUUAUAAGAUCCCUCAAAGAUGAUGAGGUUAAUAGGUUCGAGGUGGAAGCAUGGUGACAUGUGGAGCUGACGAAUACUAAUCGAUCGAAGACUUAAUCAA
rnacentral:rRNA from 1 species